rnacentral:rRNA from 1 species
UACGUAGGGUGCAAGCGUUGUCCGGAUUUAUUGGGCGUAAAGAGCUCGUAGGCGGUUUUGAAAGUCGGGUGUGAAACCUCCAGGCUCAACCUGGAGACGCCACUCGAUACUUCAAUGACUUGAGUUCGGUAGGGGUAAGCGGAAUUCCUGGUGUAGCGGUGAAAUGCGCAGAUAUCAGGAGGAACACCGGUGGCGAAGGCGGGUCUCUGGGCCGAUACUGACGCUGAGGAGCGAAAGCGUGGGGAGCGAACAGG